rnacentral:lncRNA from 1 species
CCAGGGACAGGAACCACAAGCCCCAGGAGGUCCCCAGAUAAGGGAGGGUCACAGGCAGGGCUAUUGCUGGGGGGCUCCCCGCCCGGCUGGGGCCUCUGGCCAUGGGGCAACGCGGCAGGAACAUCUGAUGCAAGUGGCUGGCCGGGCAGCAGGCAGAGCUGGCUCCACGCUGCAGAAACCUCAGUCAAGCCUUGGAGUCGGCAGGAUAAUGGCCCCCAAAUGCCUCCCAUCCUAAUCCCAGGACCUGUGCACGCAUCACCUCACGGGGCAGAGGGAACUCUGCAGACGGGUUGUGUCAAGGCCCCUGGGAUGGGGGUGACCCAGGAUUCCCAGGGCUGAGGGUCAUCCCAGGGUCCUGAGCAGAGGGAGGCGGGAGGGUCAGGGGCUGAGAUGGAGAUGCUGCGCUGCAGACAGAGGAAGGGGCCCGGAGCCCAGGACACCAACGCCUCUGGAAGCUGGAGAAAGCGCCACACGCUCCUGCCCUGGGGCCUCUGGGAGGACCCGCCCUGCCCCACCCUGGGUUUUAGCUCAAGGAGGCCAGGUCCCACUCCUGACCUCCAGAACUGGAAGAGAAUAAAUUCCUGUCAUUUUAAGCCCCCAAAUCCGUGGCACUUUGUCACAGGAGCCCUGGGAGACUCAGACAGACACUAAGCCUGUGGCAUGCCAGAGUUCCCAUUCCCCAGGUGGGCAAAGUGAGGCAAGUCCAGCCAGGCCCCCAGGAGGCCGACCUGGGCAUCCCGACCAGGGUCCCCUGAUGGGGCUGGGAACAGGGGCGACGCGUUCAGCGGGGGGAGGCCUGGCAGCCCGGACUCCUGGGCCCGGAGCCCGCUGACCCGCCGAAGGCCACGGAGGCGGCGGGUCCUCCUGAGCACGGCGCGGUGCAGGACCAGCUCCGGGAAUGUCCUCCCCCAGGGCUGGAUUUGCUUGUGCCGCUAAGUGGCCCCAGCCGAUGUGCGCCCGGGCGCGUGACCGGCGCCCCUGAACCCGGCCCACCCCGUGCAGCUGGAGGCCAGCGACCCCCGCCAGGCGUGCUGUCUCCGGGGCGCCUCCCCCUCCUCCGCGGGCCGGAUUCCCCGGACGCCCCUCGCCGACUGCCCGGGGUCGCGGGCAGAGGGGACGGCGUGGGGCGCGUGGGCUCAGAGAUGCCGGCCGCACGCCCCGGGGAGCCGCGGCGGCCGCGCCUGCGCACUGGCUCCGGCUCCGGGCCCAGGACCCGCUGGCGGGAGCGGUUGCCGGGGCAACGCGUUUACGUCACCGAACCUGGCGCGGCGCCCGAGCUCCCAGAGUGGGAGGUGGAGCCCUGGCGAUGGGC